rnacentral:lncRNA from 1 species
CCCAAUUAGAAUAACUAUAUAUACAAAACAUUCCCACUGUUCUCUCUAGAAUUCCAUAACUGCCGUGUCAGUCUCUCUUUCUAUUUUUCUCUCUUUUCUUUUUGGUGAAUUCUCGUCUCACUUCUCCCUAAGUUAUGUUCAUCAUUUUCAAUUUAUUUAUUUCUUGUUGUAAAAAAAACAUGAAAUUUGUGUUCCCUUGAUUAGUGAUUUAUUCAUUUAUUUAUUAUUAAUAUAUGUUUUUUUGUUUUUAAUUUUUAUUAUGUUUUAUUGAUCUAACUAGGUGAAGUGAUUAGAUUAUGUUGUUUUGUUUGGAUUAUGAAACUGAUGAUUUAGAUUAGUGAUUAUUGCUUAAAAUCUAGUACUCCUGCUAUUUUAUAUGAGUUACUUUUAUUGGAGAAAUUAGUGAGCGCCUUUAAACAAAGUGAUCUUAAACGUGGUUAUGAUUAAUGAAAUCGGUUUAAUCAGAGAAUAUGGUUAAAUCAAAGAGAAUUAAGGUUUUUUUUUGUGGAUUUUUAUGCGGGAUUCGACAGAAUAUAUUUUAGGAAAGUAAAUCCCGAUGGAUGCGAAAAAACACUAGUGAUUUCUUACCUUGGCUAAGCCUUGGCGGGCAUGGUUACUAAGUACCUAUGUUGGUGGGAGCUACCAAGUAUCUGGUGACUAUGUUGGUGGGAGCUACCAGGUAUCUGGUGAAUGUGCGCAAGCUGGCCCGGACAACAACCUUCAUUAAAAGAAAAAUUUAUUGUAGGAAAUAAAAUCCCGACUGAUGCAAAAAAACACUAGUGAUUUCUUACCUUGGUUAAGCUUUGGCGGGCAUAGUUACUAGGUACCUGUGUUGGUGGGAGCUAGCAGGUAUCUAGUGAAUGUGCAUAAGUUGGCCCGGACACUACCUUAAUUAAAAGAAGAAUUUAUUAUAGGAUAUUAAUCCCAAGGGAGGCAAAAGACACUGGUGAUUUCUUCGCUUACCUGCGCCGGUGGGAGGUAGCAGGUAUCCAGUGGAAUAGUCAGAGGUGUGCGCAAGCUGAUACGGACACCGAAGUCGGAAAAAAUAUAAUUUGUUGUUCGAAAUUGCAAGAUUUGGAUGAGAGAUCUGAUAAAGUUGAGUAAUUUAAUGUGUACUAUAGUGUUCAUGGAAGAGUGGGUUGCUCUAGUGGCGAGCACCCUCCACUUCCAACCAAGAGGUUGUGAGUUCGAGUCACUCCAAGAGCAAGGUGGGGAGUUCUUGGAGGGAGGGAGCCGAGGGUCUAUCGGAAACAGCCUCUCUACCCCAGGGUAGGGGUAAGAUCUGCGUACAUACUACCCUCCCCAGACCCCACUAGUGGGAUUAUACUGGGUUGUUGUUGUUGUUUUAGUGUUCAUGGAAGGUUGGUAUAAAAUUCUUCAUCCUUGCUCUAAAAAGGUAUGUAAAUUAUUGGGUUUGAUUUGGUUGACAAUUUUUUUGGAUAAAACAUUGAAUCUACCUACUGAUUUGUAUUGCUUCGGUAUGUUAUUUUUUUGAAAAGCAGCAAGUGAAUUAGCUUUCUGUUUGUCUAGUAUUCAUGUUGUGUUAAUCUCCCUGGCGGGUUGAGUUAGCCGAUUAAUUUGAUAAUUUAUUAUUGAUGUAUCUUCUUUUUUCUUUGAGCGGGGGUCUUACAGAAACAACUUCUCUACCUUCACAAGGUAGGGGGUAAGGUCUGCGUACACUCUACCCUCCCCAGAGCCUACUAUGUGGGGUUACACUAGGUUUGUUGUUAUUGUUGUUGUUGUACUAUUGAUGUAUCCAAUGGGUGAAGUAGGAGGUGCUGUGGAGUGAAGAGAAGUAUAUGUUGCCGGUUAUUAUUUAAUCAUCCAAGAAAAGAAGUUAAAUCUCUUAGAAGAUACAUCACAAAAAAAGUGUCUCUUGGAAGACUUUUAGGGGGAUAAAAGAAAGAGCUUUCCCCUGAAAUGAAAAAAGGAGAAGAUUUUUUAAUAGCUGUGAUAUCAACUUUCAUAAGAUUCUAAUUUUUUGUUAUAUGCAGAUGUAUAUUCAGUAAUCAAUGAGGGCAGUGAUCAAACAUAGUUUUAGUUUCCAUUGUUAUACCGAUAUAUUAGCCCCUGUAAACUACUUAUCAACCCCUGUAAACACUAGGCCCUUUAAACAAAGAAUGACUCCUGAAGAUUAUCCACACACAUAGAUGUUAGUUCUGGAAUUGGGGAAAUGGAUGUAGUUUUACAAGCUCACUGAAGUUCCUAUACGAUCUUCUAAUUGGACAUUGUAUCUGUACCAUAGAAUUUGGGAUUAGUAACAAAACUAGUCAUGCCCAUAGUAAGUUUAGCACUCAAUAGCUGUCAUUGAUUGGUUAUUUGAAGGCUUGGGCAUUUGUUGUCACUUGGUGUUAGCUUACUUAUUUUAGUCUAUGUUUGUGUACUAAUAUCUGAUUAUUUUUUAUUUUCUUGAACUACAGUUUGGUAUACAAUGAUGACUGACGGUCAUGAUAAUGAUAAGAAUAUUGAGAUAUGGAAGAUUAAGAAACUUAUAAAGGCACUUGAAGCUGCUCGAGGCAAUGGCACCAGCAUGAUUUCUCUUAUCAUGCCUCCACGGGAUCA